rnacentral:rRNA from 1 species
GAUGAACGCUGGCGGCGUGCCUAAUACAUGCAAGUCGAGCGAACAGACGAGGAGCUUGCUCCUCUGACGUUAGCGGCGGACGGGUGAGUAACACGUGGAUAACCUACCUAUAAGACUGGGAUAACUUCGGGAAACCGGAGCUAAUACCGGAUAAUAUAUUGAACCGCAUGGUUCAAUAGUGAAAGACGGCUUUGCUGUCACUUCUAGAUGGAUCCGCGCCGCAUUAGCUAGUUGGUAAGGUAACGGCUUACCAAGGCAACGAUGCGUAGCCGACCUGAGAGGAGGAUCGGCCACACUGGAACUGAGACACGGUCCAGACUCCUACGGGAGGCAGCAGUAGGGAAUCUUCCGCAAUGGGCGAAAGCCUGACGGAGCAACGCCGCGUGAGUGAUGAAGGUCUUCGGAUCGUAAAACUCUGUUAUUAGGGAAGAACAAAUGUGUAAGUAACUAUGCACGUCUUGACGGUAACUAAUCAGAAAGCCACGGCUAACUACGUG